AUAAAUGAAUGGCUAGACUAUACAAAGUUAGUAGAUUAGGCAGCAAAACCCGGGUGUUGAAAUUUGCCUUGUAAUCCUUUCUUCUUAGACUAAAAUUAGAGCUAGCCCUCUUACUCAAGAAUCUAGCUUGAAAACGGCAAACAAAAGUAAGAGGUCUGGCUGAAUUAUCAGAAAUUACUUUGGAAGAAGGUAAUAAAACUGGAUUUAUAGCCACAAGUCAUAGCAGGGUUUUAUUCAGUAACAAAUGGAGAUGCUAUUUUUUGGUAGAUCAUCCACGGAGAUUCAGAGGGCAGGGAGGAAACGUGUUGUCGAGUCAUCCUGCAGUAGAGUAAAAUGUGUUCUGAAUAUCUGAGAAGCCAAAGCUGAAAAUACAGGAUGUGUAGCUCAUACUGACAUUCUGAAUAGAUGUUCUAAAAAGUCCUAGACCAGGCCUGAUUCGUCAAUAGUACGGCUAACUAUACCUCUUUACAUAUAUAUGUAAAACCGAUGGUUUCUAACAGUUGAAAGUGAAAGAUUUCUGUUUCCAUAUUCCGUUUACUUACAUUUAUAGAAUAUACUAGAAAGACUGCUUUGGGAAAUCUUAAAAUAAUUUUAAGAUUAAAAGGCAUCUUAGAGAUCCACUGUUCUAAUAGCCACACUGGCAUCAUUAACUUAAAAGUUUACAGUAGUGCAUAAAGCAUUUCUACCCACGUGUAUUUGAUCCUAAGGAUCAUGUGCAAUAGAAAAAGUUGACUAAUUUAGCCAAGACCCCUCAGCUACCCAUGUGAAAGUCUAAUGGGGAAGAGAAAGACACAUAAGUAAACAAGCUCCUCACUUAAAUUAAGAAUGGAAAAGAAAUGCACAGAAGAUGAAAUCGACCAAUCUGAAUCACUAUCACAAGUGUCUGUGAGUGAAAAUAACAAGCAGCUAAAAAACUCAAUUGAACAAUUUGCAUGACAAAGCCUAUGCCUCCAAAAAGGAAACAAAAGAACGGUAUCACGUUGCUACUGGGAAUAAAGGUCGGAGCAUUUCUACUUAAUACAGCGCAGUCCCCCAUCACUGUACAACAGCGCACAUACCUUUUACAGCCAAGCGGCAUGUGCUUACAAAAAGGAAAAAGGAAAAAGAAAGAGAUACCAUGAAAAUCACCUUGAACUCUUGAACUUGGCUUGCAGGUUGCUUCUUUGCAUGUUUGGAUGCAAUUUUGUUGUUGGUUUGGUUUGUUCACUACCACUGUCAAGAAGAGAGAAGAAUCCCCACCUUGCAUGGCAGCUGAGCCUAGAGAGACCCACUUUGUCACAGGCCAUUAGUGUUCAUCAUUACACAGCUUAAUGCUGUUGUCUGUUCUCUUCAGUGAACUCUGCAUAGAUUUAUCUUUAGCUAAUGCAGCAGAGACUAAGGGAAACGACAAAGGUCUCUGGAUUUGUGUGCCUUUAUGAAAUAGCAUUUUGAAACCAUUCUGGGCCAUAGGGACUCCAUAGAAUUGGAGAUGGUAAUAUGCACUUUUGCCAUCACCCUGCCUCUACUAGGCAACGGCUGUUCAUAGGGAUAAAGAUCUGGGUACUCAGAGGCACCUUUGUUCAGAGGUAGAAAGUCAUCAUCUUGGGACUACAGCUUAGAAAGCAGGAGAAAAAUUUUAUUCUCAAGAUGCAUUUACUAACAUACUCUGAUUCUAUCAUUUCUGAAACGUCAUCCACUCACUCAAACUUUCUAAGGACCUCGCCAUGUGUGAGGGACCAUUCUAGGUGACGGGGAAAUAAUAGUGACCAAAAGAGACAAAAAUUCUUGCCCUUGGGUAAGUUACAUUCUUAGUGGCAGGAGUUAGGAAAUAAGCCAGAGGGAAGAUAAAGUAGAGAGGGCGAUAGAAAAAAUUUUUAAAAAUUGUUCUCCAAGAAUGUAGACCGUGAUAAGGGAAACAAAGAGCAAAAAGUAGAGCAUAUGCCAAUUAUAAACAGGAUAAGCAGGAAAGGCUUCACUGGGAUGGUGACGCUUGAGAAGACUCCAAAGGUAUGAAGGUGGUGACGCGCAGGGGCAGCUGGUGCACGUGCACUCACAUUCAAAGGCUCAAGGGUAAGUUCAAGAAGACCAGUGUGGCUAGAGGAAGUGAUCCACAGAGAGGGCUGCGGGAGAUGCACUCAGUAUCAACCGGUAGGGGCAGACUACGUAGAGCCUUGCAAGCCACUGUAAAGAAUUCUGGGUUUUGCUCUCCAUGAAUGACCACUGGAGAGUGUGGAACCAGAAGGUUUAUAUGAGGUGACUUACAUUUUAACAGGACCAUUAUAGCUACGAGGGAGGAAAGCAAGGCAUCAGGCAUGAGACCAGCUAGGAGCCUAAUUCACUAAUCCCCACAAGCAAUGAUGAUGGCAUAGAUCAGGCUAGUACUUAACACCGAAAACGAGCAAUGGUUACAUUGAUUUGGGGGAAAAACCAGUAACGUAAGCCGAUGGAUUGCUUCUGGGUGUGAGAAAAAGAGAGUGUGCCUCGAUUUUUGGUCUGAACAACUGGCAAGAAUGGUGUUGCCAUUUAUCAGAAUGAGGAAGACCAAGGGAUUGCAAUCAAAAGAGAGAAGGUGCCCGAGGACGAAAGCCUGGGUACCACAGGCUCAGAGGUCAGGUGGGUGAGGAUAAAAUGCACAGGCGGCCAAUGAGGUGAGGGGAACAUGGGAAGACUGCACUGUCCGGGUCCAAUGAAGAAAGUCUUCUGAGGAGGAGGCGGUGAUUAGCCACAUCUAAUACUACAGACCAGUUUAGGAACAUGCCAAAGCAGCUGGUCAAAACAGUGGUGGCACUUUGUCCUGACCAGCAGGAAAAAGGUAGAACAGGAAAGAAUGCACAGAAGUGGAAAACUGAGGGUUAUGUUUGUUCUAUGCUCUCCCUUUUUCAAUUUCAAUUUCUCUAUCACCAAGAAAAAGAAAAAAAAAAAAAAAAAAGGAAAUGAACAGCCUUGCCCAGGUCAUAUUUUAUUUAUGAGAAUUGAGCAUAUCUGUGCAAUGCUUUGAGGACUUAGUAAAAAGCACAGAAAAUCUCACUCUCCAUAGAGUCCAUGAACACAUUUUGCACAACACCUGUUGCCUUCUUGUUUCUACUCCUUCUUUUAAGUCUUCCUGGGGAAGAUUUAAAAAAAAAAAAAAAAUUCUAGUCUUAUUGUUCUCGGUAAGGCAGACACCAUGUUAUCCCCCCCCCCUUUGUUUUAUAUAUGUACUUAUUAAUUUAUUUUGGAGGAGGGAAGGAAUGGGACCAAAAAAAAAAUGAAGAAAGUGUCAGUCUCUCAUUUGCUAAAAAAAUGUUCAAAACUCUUGUCCUAGACUAAAUACACAAGGAUAAUCACCGAAUAAACUGAUCCGAAGCUUCAAAAAUGAAUGGCAUAUUGAGAUGUGAUUAAAUGUCCUAUUCAAAACUUUUCGAGGCCAAGUUCCCAAAGAUGCAUAAUCUAUCUAAUAAUUUCUUCUUCUUGAUUUCUCUGCAGCUUUUUAAAAUAACUCUCUCCUCCUCUAAACCCUCUUACAUGGUUACCAUAAUGGGGCUUGCUUUCUACGUCCUUCGCUGUCUCAUCACUUCUCUCAUCCACUGAAUGCGGCAUGUUCUAAGAUAAAAGUGACCUCAGCUUUCUACUAUAUUCAAGGCUUAGAAAUCACCUCUGCAGAAUACCUCAGGCAUUAAGAGCUCAAUUUAAACAUCACCAAGACUUCUGUUUGAAUCUCACUAUAAAAUAUGACUAGUUGUGGGACCUAUGGCAAGCUACAAAAAUCUUGUCUGUGCCAGUUUCCUCACCUGUAAAAUGUGGGGAUUACUACCACCUGCUUCAGAGAGCUUUUGUGAAGUUUUUGUGAAAAUUACAUGAGCUAAUCCAUGAAAGCCUCAUUACUGAGAUUGGCACAAGUUGAGCAUACAAAAAUUGUUGGCUAUCAUUGGGACUCUCAACCACAAAUUCCCAGCUCUAGCCUCUUUCAAUUUCAAGGUUAAUUUCUGUGGGCUACCAGAAGCAGUCAUUUGACUCCCUCAAACUCUUUGUGAGCCAAAGACAAAAUAAUUAAGGGACAUCAGAUUAAAGAAGAUCUACUAUUGCAUCAUUAGUGAGUCAAUUAUAGCAAACCAUUCAAUAAACAUUAGCCUAGGAGAGCGAAUGGUCUUUCUGUAAUGGAAACAUAGCUUGAGAUAGUAAGAAUGUCUAGAAGGUGUUUUACAAUCUCUUUGGUUUAUGCCUCCUCCAACGAUAUUCCUCUAUCUUCUGUGCCUCUGAUCAAGUUUCAUUCUUACUAUUUUUGUUAAAAAAAAAAACAGCACAUUUACUUAAUCAUCCCCACCUUUCAUCAAGAAUCACUGGUCUAGAAAAUGUCAUAUAGAACUUCAGAACCUCAUGUUUCUGUGGCAUUUUCCUUUUCUUAAAAAAAAGAAGAAAAAAAAAGUACAUAUAUUAUCUUUUACAUAAAAAAUCAUUUCCACUUCAAAUACGGUAUCUUAUUAUUCUAAGAAUUGUUUUGGAGGCAACACAGAACAUUUCGCACCCAAACCUGUCCUGUUCUCACCUACAAGAACAUUCUAAAGUGUGUUGUCACACCAAACUUCUGCUGGACAGGUAGCUCACUGCAUAUUUUUAAAUGAAUCCUCUGUAUCUGUUGUCAAAGCCUAAACUUCCCCAUAAUCUACUUCGAAAUACAACUUUUCAAUGCCAUCAAAAUGCUGUUAUGUCACAUUUAUAUAGCUCCUAACCACAGGUCGCUAAUAACAUAUAUCCAAAGGACCAAUAAAAUGAGUAUUUUACCACUUCUGUGUGAGCUUUACACAUUCUUUGGAGCCAUAAUCUUUUCACGUUUGCUCAGAAGAAGGGAGCAGAAUACCACUGUGGUUCAGGUUUUGGAGGUGGUUACUAAAAAGUAUAGAAUUCCUCCUGUACUGCUCAAUGACCCAACACAGUAAGGCGCAUAUGCGGUUCACUGCGAUUUUGUGUCUCCUCCCCUCCAGCAUCGGCUCCUAAAGGAGUGAUUCCCAAUGCGUCACCCUCUAAAUACACAGGUGCUCUGUGGACACGGAGGAACAGAGACUGGAGAAGGUGUGCGUCCUCCCUCCUGGGAUGCUGCUGAGUCCCCUCCGCCCCUGCAAUUCUCGGGUGGCCCAACUCACUCACCCCCCAACCUCAAAGCCCUGGCUAGCUCGACAGCUGGGCUGGGAAGCCAAUCAAACUUCCUGCCAGAUAAAUGUGAGUUCAAUCUAAAAUUGACCACGUGGUUCUGUGCUCGAUGACCUUGAGCAAACCACUCUGUCUCUUUCUCAGAUUCCUGAUUUUUCAGAGCAAGCAACUGUUAAAAGAAUUAAGACAAGAUGUGGAAUGCAGGAGGUAUACAGCAGGGGCUUAAAAAAAUGAAUCCGGGCAGCUCCCUCCCUCCAGGCUAUGUGGGGCCGACUUCUGCAGGCAGCAGCAGAGCCCUGCUCAUCCACCCUUUCCAUCAAAUUCUGCAACCAGCUUUAAUGAGGUGCUUCCUGCGUAUCCCCAUGGGAUAAAACUGGCAUUGAGUCUCCCCAUAAAGUAAUCAAAGGGAAGGAAGUUAAGAGAAGAUGAAGGAGAAGGAGGAGGAGAGGAGGAGAAGAAGAAGAGGAAGGAGAAAGAAAAAGGAGAAGCAGCAGCAGCAGCAAGUGCUGAAUUGCACUCAAAGGUAUAGUAUUCUUCUGAGUGGAUGCUUUUCAAAUCUGCAGAGUUCCAUCAGACCCUUUCAGGAGGGAAACCAUCUUUUCCACAGCUGAUAGAUAGCAACACAAACCACAAACAACGGUCAUCAAAAUGUUACCUGCCUAUCAUCAAGAGGUCUUUGGCAUCAUGGGGCAGAAAUAAUACCUUAAAGGGAUAGGCAUCAUUACGGCCAUUCCUUCUCGCCUGCUAUUCAUUCUUUUUUAAAAAAUUAUUGCAAUAAACACAGGCACACAGCUGCCUGUCUCUGCCUCCACAUUUCCUUCCGCCCCAGCUCACAGGCAGCGGUUUCCCCAUGUUCACCUUUGCUUGGAAAAUACUCUGUAAAGAAAUGACUGGUAACAAAUUAGUCAUUCUGCAGUCUAUUGAUUAAGCCACACUAAAUCAGGGUCACACCGGGUGUGCUUUGGGGGAAGGGAAGCAAUCAAUUCAAGGCUGCAAAAAAAAAAAAAAAGAAAGAAAAAUGAAAAAACAUGCGCAGAAGCUUCCAUUCUUUUUUUUUUUUUUUUCUUUUUAACCUCAUUUUUAACAUUCAGGCUGUGGGUCCUGAACAUAUUGCCCAAGGGCAAUAACAAGCCCUGCGACUGGAAAAGGGAAAAGCAGGUCAUCAACUAUUAUCUCACUGAACGUGGGGAGCACACAGGUGUUAGCGUCUCGAAUUUUCAAGAAAUGGAUGCUCGUAAAAGAACACUUAUC
rnacentral:lncRNA from 1 species